rnacentral:rRNA from 1 species
AUAGUAGUGUCGAGUUUGAUCCUGGCUCAGGAUGAACGCUAGCUACAGGCUUAACACAUGCAAGUCGAGGGGCAGCAUGGGCUUAGCUUGCUAAGCCCGAUGGCGACCGGCGCACGGGUGAGUAACACGUAUCCAACCUUCCGGUAACUCCGGUAUAGCCUUUCGAAAGAAAGAUUAAUACCCGAUGUUGCGUAUCUUUCUCCUGAAAGAUACGCCAAAGGAUUCCGGUAACCGAUGGGGAUGCGUUCCAUUAGGCAGUUGGCGGGGUAACGGCCCACCAAACCUUCGAUGGAUAGGGGUUCUGAGAGGAAGGUCCCCCACAUUGGUACUGAGACACGGACCAA